AUCCAACUGACGAGUCCCGAACAGGACGAAACGCGCGUCCUGUAU
rnacentral:hammerhead_ribozyme from 1 species